GAAGGGGGCAAGCGUUGCUCGGAUUUAUUGGGCGUAAAGGGUGUGUAGGUGGCUAUAUAAGUUAGAUGUGAAAGCCCUGGGCUUAACCCGGGAACUGCAUUUAAAACUGUAUGGCUUGAAGUUUGGAGAGGUUAGCAGAAUUCCCAGUGUAGAGGAGAAAUUCGUAGAUAUUGGGAAGAAUACCGAUGGCGUAGGCAGCUAACUGGCCAAAACUUGACACUGAGGCACGAAAGCGUGGGGAGCAAACAGGAUUAGAUACCCUGGUAGUCCACGCCCUAAACGAUGUGUACUCGCUAUCGGCAUGUUUACAUGUCGGUGGCUAAGCUAACGCGAUAAGUACACCGCCUGGGGAUUACGAUCGCAAGAUUA
rnacentral:rRNA from 1 species